GAUGAACGCUGGCGGCGUGCCUAAUACAUGCAAGUCGAGCGAACAGACGAGGCGCUUGCUCCUCUGACGUUAGCGGCGGACGGGUGAGUAACACGUGGAUAACCUACCUAUAAGACUGGGAUAACUUCGGGAAACCGGAGCUAAUACCGGAUAACAUGUUGAACCGCAUGGUUCAACAGUGAAAGACGGUCUUGCUGUCACUUAUAGCUGGAUCCGCGCCGCAUUAGCUAGUUGGUAAGGUAACGGCUUACCAAGGCAACGAUGCGUAGCCGACCUGAGAGAGUGAUCGGCCACACUGGAACUGAGACACGGUCCAGACUCCUACGGGAGGCAGCAGUAGGGAAUCUUCCGCAAUGGGCGAAAGCCUGACGGAGCAACGCCGCGUGAGUGAAGAAGGUCUUCGGAUCGUAAAACUCUGUUAUUAGGGAAGAACAAAUGUGUAAGUAACUAUGCACGUCUUGACGGUACCUAAUCAGAAAGCCACGGCUAACUACGUG
rnacentral:rRNA from 1 species